ensembl:lncRNA
AUCUCCAGGUAGGGUCAGUCAGUCAGUCAGGUAGUAGUAUAUAGUGAGUCAUAUCUACAGGUAGGGUCAGUCAGCCAGUCAGGUAGUAGUAUAUAGUGAGUCAUAUCUACAGGUAGGGUCAGUCAGUCAGGUAGUAGUAUAUAGUGAGUCAUAUCUCCAGGUAGGGUCAGUCAGUCAGUCAGGUAGUAGUAUAUAGUGAGUCAUAUCUACAGGUAGGGUCAGUCAGGUAGUAGUAUAUAGUGAGUCAUAUCUACAGGUAGGGUCAGUCAGUCAGCCAGGUAGUAGUAUAUAGUGAGUCAUAUCUACAGGUAGGGUCAGUCAGGUAGUAGUAUAUAGUGAGUCAUAUCUAC